rnacentral:rRNA from 1 species
CGACGACGUAGAUAGGCUGGGUGUGUAAGCGUAGCGAUACGUUGAGCUAACCAGUACUAAUGACCCGAGAGGCUUAACCUUACAACACCGAAGGUGUUU